AUGAGUUUGAGGUUAAGAUGUUGGCGAUAUAACGUAAGGGAGAUCACUCUCGUUCUCUAGUUAUCAACAUGUGUCCGGUAUGGCGGUGUCCUAUGUAGACAAACCAAAGCUUAUUGUAUUUGACUUAGAUUAUACUUUGUGGCCUUUCUGGGUUGACACACAUGUUUCUCCGCCUUUUGAACUAAGGAAGGAUAAAGUAUAUGAUUCCCUUGGAGACCAUGUGACACAUUUCCCUGAAGUUCCAGAGGUGUUGCAGUCCCUUCAAAAUGAAGGUUAUAAGCUUGGUGUUGCUUCCAGAACAGGUGCAAUAAAAAGUGCAAAGCAGUUGAUGGAUUUAUUUAACUGGAGUAAAUAUUUUGAAUUUUCUGAGAUUUAUCCUGGAGAUAAAACAAUUCAUUUUUCCCAGUUUCAUAAACACAGCAACAUCCCAUAUGAAGAUAUGUUAUUCUUUGAUGAUGAAGGGAGGAAUGUAACAGCUGUUGGUAACAUAGGUGUAACAGCAAUUCAUGUACAUAAGAAUACUGGAGUUACUAAAGAAGUGAUGGAAGAAGGACUAAAAAAAUUUGCUGAAAACAAGAAAAAAGCUGCAUCCUAGCCUUUUAUGGAAAUCUUCUGUAACUGUUUCUAUUAUUUAAUGUUAGACUUUUGCAAAAUCCUUUCAUCCUCUGUUUUUAUACAAAAAAUGAAGGUUUACUAUAGCACAACCAACCUGAUCAGACCUUAACAUAUGUUUUCAGUUUUUAUGAAAUAUUUAUUAUGUAAAAGAAUAAAUUUAACUUUUAAAAUGCAAUGAACUCAUUUGUUUUUGUACUUAUCUUCUUGAAAGCAAUAGAAUAUUUUAAACUAUAUUUUUGUAGUUUAUCAUGGAAACAUUUUAAUGUCUCAGUACUUUUAGUCCUUGUGAAUACACUGUGUUUGUUUCUUAUUCUUUUCCUUUUAGCUGCUGAAAAUCAAACAAUACAUGGCUAAAUAUAUUAUGGGCAUCUAUAAUCUCAGUAUAUCUGAUCUACCUCAGGCUUUAGCUAAGAGUGCUGUUAAAACAUUGUUUUUUUCAGAUCUUUCAUUAUUGGCCUUAAAAUGCUUCCUGCAAGAAGGAUUGAUUGACUGUGAAGAUUUACAAUGUUGCAAAAUAUGUUAUGUUGAUUUUAACAACUUAUUACCAA
rnacentral:misc_RNA from 1 species